UAUAAUUGUAUGGAAAAUUAGGAUUAUUUUAUAUUAUAACGAAGUAAAACUUAUGUAAAGUGAACACAACCUAAGUACGAAAAAUAAACACUGAAACCUCACAUUGUUCUUAUAUUCUUCUAGAAAAUCAUUUUCAAUAUGAACAGUCUCUAUUGUCCGGUGAGUUUAUUCUAUAAAUCUAUUGAUAUAUUUUAGUAAUUAUAAUUGGAAUAUUUACAUUUAGGUAUACAAGUAGUAACAAUAAUACUGAAAAUAAUACAGUCAAUGAACUAGAAUAUAAUAUUGAAAUUAAUGAACUUUGUGAUUUAUCCUACUAAGAAAUAAUUAUCAAUAUGAAAAAAACUAUAUUAACCAGUAAAAUUAUCAUGUAAAUUAUAUUAAUACACUUUGUUAAUUAAAAUUCCAAUAUUUUCAUUUAGGUACCACAAAGUGUUAUAAUAAUACUGAAAAUCUUGCAGUCAAUGAACUAGAUAGCGACAACUUGGACAAUAUUGAGGCCCUGUACAGUCAUUUUUGCAAGACCUUGAUAAGCUUUAUUUUUGUUUUUUUAUUUU
rnacentral:lncRNA from 1 species